rnacentral:misc_RNA from 1 species
GAUGAAGAACGUAGCGAAAUGCGAUACUUGGUGUGAAUUGCAGAAACCCGUGAACCAUCGAGUCUUUGAACGCAAGUUGCGCCUCAAGCCAUUAGGUUGAGGGCACGUCUGCCUGGGCGUCACAUAUCGUUGCCUGAUGCCAGUUUCCUCGUGAUGGGUGACUGUGCAGGGCGAAUGAUGGCUUCCCGUGAGCAUUGUUGCCUCAUGGUUGGUUGAAAAUUGAGUCCUUGGUAGGGAGCGCCGUGAUAGAUGGUGGUUGAGUGACGAACGAGACCCAAUCAUGUGAGACCCCUACCGAAUUUGGCCUUCAUGACCCACAUGCGUCUUUGGAACGCUCAUGACGAGACCUCAGGUCAGGCGGGGCUACCCGCUGAGUUUAAGCAUAUCAAUAAGCGGAGGA